GAUGAACGCUAGCUACAGGCUUAACACAUGCAAGUCGAGGGGAAACGACAUCGAAAGCUUGCUUUUGAUGGGCGUCGACCGGCGCACGGGUGAGUAACGCGUAUCCAACCUGCCCACCACUUGGGGAUAACCUUGCGAAAGUAAGACUAAUACCCAAUGAUAUCCCACGAAGGCAUCCGAAUGGGAUUAAAGAUUUAUCGGUGAUGGAUGGGGAUGCGUCUGAUUAGCUUGUUGGCGGGGUAACGGCCCACCAAGGCUACGAUCAGUAGGGGUUCUGAGAGGAAGGUCCCCCACAUUGGAACUGAGACACGGUCCAAACUCCUACGGGAGGCAGCAGUGAGGAAUAUUGGUCAAUGGGCGAGAGCCUGAACCAGCCAAGUAGCGUGCAGGAUGACGGCCCUAUGGGUUGUAAACUGCUUUUAUAAGGGAAUAAAGUGGGUCACGUGUGACUUUUUACAUGUACCUUAUGAAUAAGGACCGGCUAAUUCCGUG
rnacentral:rRNA from 1 species